AACGAACGCUGGCGGCGUGCUUAACACAUGCAAGUCGAACGCGAAAGUUUUCUUCGGAAGACGAGUAGAGUGGCGCACGGGUGAGUAACGCGUAAGUAAUCUGCCCUGGUAUCUGGGAUAACCCACCGAAAGGUGUGCUAAUACCGGAUACGCUGAGCAAUCAGGAAAGGUGGCCUCUUCAUGAAAGCUACUGUACCAGGAGGAGCUUGCGUACCAUUAGCUAGUUGGUAGGGUAAUGGCCUACCAAGGCAACGAUGGUUAGCGGGUCUGAGAGGAUGAUCCGCCACACUGGAACUGAAACACGGACCAGACUCCUACGGGAGGCAGCAGUGAGGAAUAUUAGCGCAAUGGGGGGAAACCCUGACGCAGCGACGCCGCGUGGAU
rnacentral:rRNA from 1 species